rnacentral:tRNA from 1 species
GGGGCUGUAGCUCAGUGGCAGAGCACUUGCCUAGCAUGCAUGAAGCACUGGGUUCAAUCCUCAGCACCA